rnacentral:rRNA from 1 species
GGAUGCAAUCGCCUUGUCGUGAACUCUGACAAUAUGGAGGUGGUUGACACAAUAAAGAAUGAAGGACAUUCGGCGGAAGCGGCAGCGGCAGUGUUCGACGAUUGCUAUUUCAUAGCUUCUGAUUUUUCUUUUAUUAGGUUGGAAUAUUGUAAUAGGGAAGUAAAUAAGGUGGCUAAUGAAUUUGCUAGGCUAGCGAAUUUUUUCGUCACUAGGGAUUGGUUUGAGAAACCUUGA